rnacentral:rRNA from 1 species
UGGGGAAUAUUGCACAAUGGGCGCAAGCCUGAUGCAGCCAUGCCGCGUGUGUGAAGAAGGCCUUCGGGUUGUAAAGCACUUUCAGCGGGGAGGAAGGCGGUGAGGUUAAUAACCUUGUCGAUUGACGUUACCCGCAGAAGAAGCACCGGCUAACUCCGUGCCAGCAGCCGCGGUAAUACGGAGGGUGCAAGCGUUAAUCGGAAUUACUGGGCGUAAAGCGCACGCAGGCGGUUUGUUAAGUCAGAUGUGAAAUCCCCGGGCUCAACCUGGGAACUGCAUCUGAUACUGGCAAGCUUGAGUCUCGUAGAGGGGGGUAGAAUUCCAGGUGUAGCGGUGAAAUGCGUAGAGAUCUGGAGGAAUACCGGUGGCGAAGGCGGCCCCCUGGACGAAGACUGACGCUCAGGUGCGAAAGCGUGGGGAGCAAACAGG